UUUGGUUCUGGCAUUCACAUAAAUAAAGAGACAAACAUGUAUGAUUUAUAACUCUAAAUUAACCAACCCAACUAAUUCAGCAUGUUUAGUCCUUUAAUUUUUGUUCCUAGUACUACCUCCAUGAUCCCACACUCCUAAUCAUAUGAGCUAAAAUGUUGCACAUUCAAUCUUUGGGAAGAUAUAAAGAAAAAGACAUAGAUAGAUUAUCUUUCCAUAAGGUUAAGCGAUCUGAUCUGAUAAAUGUUUUAAAUGCUACACUCAUGAACUUAUCACCCAUCAACUUUGUCUUGCUCCCUAUGCUUAAGGAUAGAGAAGAAUAAAUAUACUUUUGGUUUUGUUGGUGUUUUCCACCAACAGGACCCAUGCACUUGAUCUCUGCCUUGUCUCUAUGGGCAGGACACAUUUUGAGAAACAUGGAGGAUUUUUCAACUCUCAGACUCUACCAAGUGAAGGACUAGGAUCUACGAGCACAAACACACUGAACAAGAUACUGCCAACGCCGCACUUCGAACUGCUGGGCAAACGAAGAACAUGGGUGACACUGUAUCAAGAGGUACAGACGUCAAGGUCCACACCUGAUUCAAAUGAUGCACCUGAAGAAUGAACACGGUGAGAAGUCUUGUUCAGAAGACUUAAAACAUUGAACCCUUGCCGAAAGGUAAAAUCGGUAGUUAUCCAUAUUUAUCCUUUGUGCAUUCCCUUUUCCCUUUAAUUAUUUACUUUUCUUAAAUAGCUUGUUAGUUAAUCAUGCUAUCUCGAAAAGAAAUUAAAAAUGUUAAAAACAGUAAGCCCCAUGUGAGUAUGCUCGUGGCAUAAAACCCAUAAGUACAUUCACUGUGGUGGCAUAAAAAUAAAAAUAUUCCUGUCCUAUAAAAAUGAAAAUAUAAAAAUAAGAUUGUGAUCCUACUAAAGAGAGUAAUAUAAAACCCAUAAGUACAUUCACUGUGGUGGCGUAAAAAUAAAAAUAUUCCUGUCCUAUAAAAAUGAAAAUAUAAAAAUAAGAUUGUGAUCCUACUAAAGAGAGUAAUAUUUAUUGAGGAGGCUCAACAUGAUAAAGGCAAAGAGAUUUUUAUGCUAACACUUAACUAGUUCCACAAAGCUUUGUUGUCUAUUUGAGCUCCACAGAAUUCAAGGAUCAAAGAAGACUAGCAGACGGAGGACAUCCUAAUCACUGUCAGGGUGCUGCCGACAUUCAAAUACACCUCCGCCACUUGCUAGCUACAUCAGAAGAAAUUACAUCAAAAUCCAGCUUGGGGGAGAGCACCCCCAUUUAUCCAACUAAGUGUUUAUAUUCGCGUUUAUCCUUUACUCAAAUAAUAAAAAGAUGCAUAAUCAUAAAAACCCAAAUAAAGAUUUUGUGCUUAUAUAUAUAUAUAUAUCUUUGCUUAGUUUGCUAAAUAAAUAAAGUUUGCUAUGAACCCUCAUGAUAAGCUCUCACAUGGAAAUGAUGAAUAGUUGCUCUGCCAUGACAAGUUCUCAAAAUUGAAAUCUCUCUCAAGUUUAGGCAUGACUGUUAUGAAUUAAGAUUUGCUCUAAACCUGAACUUGUGGGAAGAGUACUUGAUCUAAAGUCUAAGUCGUUAACGGAUACGAUAUGGGAAGGUUGAGCUGAUGUUUAUCUAUUCCUAGAGAUGCUAGAAUUCUAGAGAAUUUUAUCUUUGAACAUCUUUAAAAUGUUGCAUGAUGAGUUCUUGUAUGAUGAGAGUUUUAAAUCCUACCACAGCCAUAUAUACAUGCUUAUUAGACUAUGAACCAUACAUUUACUUUUUACUGCUUAUGAGGAUUGAGUGUGGUCAAGCUGUGUAGACCCUUAGGAGCUUGUCAUGCGGUUAAAAUCAAGAUUCACUUGCACGUUCACUCAUACAUCCUGCUUCUACUCCGGAAGUACGCAUCCACAUACAUCCACUCAUUUCCAUCUCUAGAUUCACCCAAAAUUAUUCUACUCCUGUCCAGGAGAGAAUAGCCAAAAACAUUCUCCUAUUUCUGUUUUCCCUGUGAAAUAAAUGCUCCAGUUAUCUUGGUUACUACCACUUGCUAUAUUAUUUCAGGAGAUGAGUGCUCUAAAAAAAAGAGAAAGGAUACGAGGAAAUAAAAAAUGGGCAAGUGCCCGGAACCACGAAGAAAAGAAAAAGUGAGACGAGAGGUAAAAAUGGACAAGUGUCCGACAGUAGAAUUAGGGGUACAAGAUACCCACCUGAGAGAAAAGAAAAAGAAAAUAUAGAGCAUCUCAUUCUCCUCAAAAGUUUCAAAAGUGUAAAAAAGGUAUGUAUCCCCUCAAAAGAGCAAAAGUAGAAUUAGACUUUCACCAUUGUUUUCACCAUUAUCACCAUCAUCACCAUACACCAUUCAUUCGCCACACAUGCACAUCUUGAUUUAACUUAUUGACUUGUUUCUCUGGAUCCAUGGUUUGACUAUGCAAUAAAUGUCUUGUAAGUAUGUAUUAGCUGUCUCCCACCUAUGAGCUCCAGAUAUCAAAGCCUCAUUAGAGUAGGAUGAGAGAGAAGGCAAUGUCACUAUGCCUCAUACCACAAAUACUACAUACUUUG
rnacentral:lncRNA from 1 species